UUCACUUAUAAAGGAUUAGAAAAGAUUAAACUAGAGUCAAUACUCAUAUUUUACAAGUUAGCAUUUCAAUGCUAUAUAAAGCGGCAACUAUAGCCGAAAACCUUCUUUUGGCGAUAUCUUUGCGUAGGUUCGUCGGAUUGCCGAACCGACUUCGCCAACGCGUUUCUUUUACCCUCAAUUUGGUUUACACGUGGUCAAUUUCGCAUUAGCACUCUUAUUUUGCAAAAGUGCAUUGCCGCGGUCAGGGGAGAAAUUUCACAAUUUCAAAGAAAUUUCACAAUUCAAUUCCCUCUUUUCUUUCAUUUUUCCUCUUCUUCUUUCUUUUCUCUCUUUCUCUUUUCUUUCUUUCUUGCUUUCUUUUCUUUUCUUUCCUUUCUUUUCUUUUCCUUUUCUUUCUUUCUUUCUUUUCUUCCUUUCUUUCCUUUCUUCCUUUCUUUCUUUUCUUUUCUUUCCUUGCUCGCUGCUGCGCUGCUGCUGCUGCUGCUGCUGCUGCUGCUGCUGCUGCUGCUAACUGCUGCUGAGGCUGCUGCUGCUGU
rnacentral:lncRNA from 1 species